ensembl:lncRNA novel transcript
CUAAGUAAAAUCUGCUUCUUCAGAAAUGAUGUAACUCCUCUGCUAAUUUUUUUUUUUUUUUUUUUUUUUUGAGACGGAGUCUCGCUCUGUCGCCCAGGCUGGAAAAUUGGGUUGUGAGUUAUUAUUAUAAACAGUAGAACAUGUUAGGCUAAUGUGGGUAAAAGAACUACCACAUGAGCUUUGUAUGGUAUUUAGCAAGGCAUUUAUCAAAUAUUACUUCUGGGGACCCAUUCAAAUCCAAGUAAUAAGUAGUGCCAUAACUGAGUUUCACUAUGUAUAAAGAUGUUCAUUCCAAAAAGUACAAGAUAUUUUUCUCCCCUAGGCUGCUUCUGAGCGGUUGCCCUCUCUAUACCUGAAAGAAUCAGAAAUUAACCAAAAGUAGGAAUUCUCAUGGGGCUUACCCAUCAAGGGAAUACCUUUAGAAUGAGGUGCUAAGGAAAUCAGCAUUCCUAUUCCUGAAAAGCCUCAACAAGAGAAGUGAAAAUCCUCGCCCAGGAUGGCUUCUCCUUUCACAUGCUCCAUGAAAUCCACCAGCCUAA